UACGUAGGGUGCAAGCGUUGUCCGGAAUUAUUGGGCGUAAAGAGCUCGUAGGCGGUUUGUCGCGUCUGCUGUGAAAACUGGGGGCUCAACCCCCAGCCUGCAGUGGGUACGGGCAGACUAGAGUGCGGUAGGGGAGAUUGGAAUUCCUGGUGUAGCGGUGGAAUGCGCAGAUAUCAGGAGGAACACCAAUGGCGAAGACAGAUCUCUGGGCCGUAACUGACGCUGAGGAGCGAGAGCAUGGGGAGCGAACAGG
rnacentral:rRNA from 1 species